rnacentral:rRNA from 1 species
UGGGGAAUUUUGACAAUGGGCGAAAGCCUGAUCCAGCAAUGCCGCGUGUGUGAAGAAGGCCUUCGGGUUGUAAAGCACUUUUGUCCGGAAAGAAAUCCUUGGCUCUAAUACAGUCGGGGGAUGACGGUACCGGAAGAAUAAGCACCGGCUAACUACGUGCCAGCAGCCGCGGUAAUACGUAGGGUGCAAGCGUUAAUCGGAAUUACUGGGCGUAAAGCGUGCGCAGGCGGUUUGCUAAGACCGAUGUGAAAUCCCCGGGCUCAACCUGGGAACUGCAUUGGUGACUGGCAGGCUAGAGUAUGGCAGAGGGGGGUAGAAUUCCACGUGUAGCAGUGAAAUGCGUAGAGAUGUGGAGGAAUACCGAUGGCGAAGGCAGCCCCCUGGGCCAAUACUGACGCUCAUGCACGAAAGCGCGGGGAGCAAACAGGAUUAGAUACCCUGGUAGUCCACGCCCUAAACGAUGUCAACUAGUUGUUGGGGAUUCAUUUCCUUAGUAACGUAGCUAACGCGUGAAGUUGACCGCCUGGGGAGUACGGUCGCAAGAUUAAAACUUAAUGAAUUGACGGGGUCAUAGCUGUUUCCU